CUAAUCACUUGUACUUCACCGGCCGCAAACCCUCACUCUCUUCGACGUCAUUUGUCCAUUUGCGUUUGUACCUUUGUUUUCUUCUUCCUUUACUGGAAAAAUCGAACAGAAAAAUUCCAUCUUUGUCCAUUUCUCUCUCUUACGUUCGGUAUCUUGUAAUUUUGUUCCGAACUUAUAUUUUUAUUCUUUUCGAAUCUUGGGAAAUUAUAAUGAUUUUCCAGAAAUGUUUCUGUCUGUUGUUUUGAAAAUUUGCUAUUUACUUUUGCAGACCCAGUUUUAUAACGAUUUUCACGAAAAUUCCCUAUCCGUAGUUUUAAACUUUUUGUAGUUUUGUUUAGCAAAAUCAAGUUAGUUUACUUUCUGGGUUUUGAAGGGCAAAAAGAAAAAAGGUCAGUUCUAUCUCACUUUUUUCUAUCUCUAUCUCUCACACACAUACUCACACUAUAGUGCGUGUGAAUUCGACUGUGAACAUAGAAUUUGGCGAAGUAAAUAAGCAAUGGUGAGAAAACACGGGUGGCAACUACCAGCUCACACCUAUCAGGUUCUGCUGCAGAUUAAUUCUCUUUAACUUGUAGUAUUUUUUGAGAUAUUCUUUUUGCACUGUUAGUUAAUUAAUUGACUUGUUCUUGCUGUUUAUAAUUGAAAUUGCUUACAGUUGGGGGAAAUGACACCGGUGGGCUAUUUUGCUGGGGUAUUAGCUUAUGGAUGAGUAGUUGCUGGAUCUAAAUUAAGAAGAAAAGUGAAAUUGGUAAAAAAAAAAAAAAAAAAUAGUUGAAUCUUUGUGUGGAUAACGGGUUUAGAUGAAUCUUUUAGCAAGUUGAAAUCCUAAAUUGGGUAAUGCAGUCCAGUUGCGUAUAGUGAAAAUUAAACUAAAGUUUCAUGCUAUCACGCAACAUUAGCAAAAUCCAUUGAACUCCUGUAGAGCAAAUCCAUUAUUUAUUUACUACAUUUUUGGUACAAUUCUUCUUCAUAUGAAUGCUUCUGUUCAUUCUUGCAUCACCUGAAUGCCUGUACUUCAUGAAAUCACCAUGUGAUGACAGGAUAAUGCUUCAGAAGGCCUGCAUUGGUUUAGGCAGCAUGAUUCUGCAACUCGAUCCAACUUGGGAAAAUCAAAAUCCGAUUUCCUGCUUCCAUUACUCUUUCUAAUUUUUAAUGAUUUAUGAGAUGGCAGACAUUAACC
rnacentral:lncRNA from 1 species